rnacentral:rRNA from 1 species
AGUCACUGACAUUAGAUACCCCUGUAGUCCCAGCCGUAAACAAUGUGCGUUAGGUGUGUCGGUAACCACGUGUUACUGAUGUGCCGAAGAGAAAUCGUGAAACGCACCACCUGGGAAGUACGGUCGCAAGGCUGAAACUUAAAGGAAUUGGCGGGGAGCACCACAACAGGUGGAGCCUGCGGUUUAAUUGGAUUCAACGCCGGACAUCUCACCGGAUAAGACAGCUGAAUGAUUGUCAAUCUGAAGGUUUUACAUGACUAGCUG